rnacentral:rRNA from 1 species
UUUCUUCGGAGAGUUUGAUCCUGGCUCAGGAUGAACGCUGGCGGCGUGCCUAAUACAUGCAAGUCGAGCGAACUGAUUAGAAGCUUGCUUCUAUGACGUUAGCGGCGGACGGGUGAGUAACACGUGGGCAACCUGCCUGUAAGACUGGGAUAACUUCGGGAAACCGAAGCUAAUACCGGAUAGGAUCUUCUCCUUCAUGGGAGAUGAUUGAAAGAUGGUUUCGGCUAUCACUUACAGAUGGGCCCGCGGUGCAUUAGCUAGUUGGUGAGGUAA